AUCUUGAUGACCAUGCACUGGUGAGAUCUGAACACAAGUGUCUGGAUUAAUGGGAUAAUGCCAGCGAUGAACAGAAGAAAGACAAUUGUCAAGGCGAUCGAUAGAACAACCUUCCAUGGAAAUGCGUCCCUGCAAAAUACAAGGAAAAACAAUGACGAGCUCAUGAAGCUGCCCGACCCGUUGAGUAUCUCAUCUUGUACAGUUUGUGUGGCUCAGUGUAAAGUCUAUAUCACUCAUCUCAUGAGGAUUCUUAGUUCAUUAGUUCAUAAGUGAUAGGGGCAGAUUGAGGCCAUUUGGCCCAUUGAGUCUAUUCCACCUUUCAAUCAUGGCUGACCUAUCUCUCCCUCUCAACCCCAUUCUCCUGCCUUCUCCCCAUAUCGCUUGACACCCGUACUAAUGGAGAACCUGUCAAUCUCCACCUGAAAAUACCCAAUGACUUGGCCCUCAUUGGAAACAUGGUAAAAGCUUUUCCCUGUACCUCAGUACAGACAACAACAAUAAA